CGGGAUGUGGCUCAGUUUGGUAGAGUACUUCGUUCGGGACGAAGGGGCCGCAGGUUCAAAUCCUGUCAUCCCGACCA
rnacentral:tRNA from 1 species